rnacentral:rRNA from 1 species
AUGGAAACCAAUGGAACCUAUGAUAUGCACAUAAAUCAAUGGAACCUAUUCAAACAUGUUGCCUUCUCAGUCGGCUGGAGCUUCAUGUGGGUUAUUUUAUUUGGAAUCCUAUUUGCCGGGGUCGGAUCAUAUGCAGUGUACAAAUACAGUCUACAGUCUACAGGUUCCGUAAAAUGGCAGCGGGUAGAGUUCUUGUCCUGCACAAAGGAAGGCUGGUCGAGAUUAAGAAAAGCAAAAAAAAAGGAGAGUAGAAGAAAUCACACAGAAAAGCAUAGAGUCAGGGGACAACAUGAAAAUGUUGAUUUGGCCUGGCAGCAUCAUCUCGUCCUCCAUUUGUAG